rnacentral:rRNA from 1 species
GGUUAAGUUAUUAAGGGCGCAUGGUGGAUGCCUUGGCACUAGGAGCCGAUGAAGGACGGGACUAACACCGAUAUGCUUCGGGGAGCUGUAAGUAAGCUUUGAUCCGGAGAUUUCCGAAUGGGGGAACCCAACUUGUUAUGCAAGUUAUCACCUAAUGAAUAUAUAGUUAGGUUGAAGGUAGACGUUGUGAACUGAAACAUCUCAUUAGCAACAGGAAUAGAAAGAAAAAUCGAUACCGUCAGUAGCGGCGAGCGAAAUCGGUAGAGCCCAAACCAAAGUGCUUGCACUUUGGGGUUGUAGGACUGACAUUGUGGAGUUACAAAGUUAACAUUUAGCAGAAUCAGCUGGGAAGCUGAGCGAGACAGGGUGAUAGCCCCGUAUGCGAAAAAUGUUGACCUCCCGUCAGGAUCCUGAGUACGGCCGGACACGUGAAAUCCGGUCGGAAUCCGCGAGGA